UUCACAUCAUUAUUUAGAUAAUUUAUUAUUACUAUCUUAACCAUAAAAUAUUCAUACUGAUAAAACGAGAUACGGGAACCCCCUUUCCGUAAUACGUGCCUAACCUGUAAUAAACUUAGUAAAUCCCCUCCUAUUUAAAAGGAAUAACACUAGUUACAUGUGGUAUAUAAAUACUGCAUUGUUUAAUUACAUAAAUACCAAGUAAAAAUGAAGUUAGGUUUAUCGCUACUCCUUACCUCAGCUGUAAUCUUCUGCUGUGGUUCACAUCCCCUGGAACAAAAAGAAAAUUUUAGAGAUUUUUAUAACAAUUUCAAAAGAUCUAUAAAUGACGGGUGUUCAGAAGUACAAAUAAUGAAAUGUAAAUUUGUAAAAUGUAUUCUGGGCGCUUAUUGUGUUAAUGGAGUAUGUAAAUGUCGCAUAAAGUAAAAAAAGACAACUUUUUCACUUCUGUAAAUAAAUAAAUAUGCUGAAUAAAUAAGUGAAAAAAUUUCACGACCACAAA